CAUUUUCAUAUUUUUCUCAUUAGAAGAAAGCACACGCUGCAUUCAAUUUCUUUUACGCUGAUUUCGAAGUUUAAAGGAAUGUUUUAUUUUAAGCAAGUUGAAUUCAUUGGAGCAUCAUUUGGAAGCAUCGAGAAGCACGCUGCACGGUUCCAUUUUAGAAAAAUCUUGGCUGCUACUUGGAUGAAAUUUGGUGACGCUGCUGUGUGUUUCUAAAUGAAGCAAAUGGUCACAUUAACUCUAGCUUAUUCAUUUGCUUUUAAAAGAAGAAAAUGGGAGCUAGUUCAUCCUUGCUUUGGAAAGAAACGCCCAUUUGGUUUCUUGGGAGAAGGGUUGGUGGCUGCAGUUCUAAUUGAUAGGACGUUAGGUAGCCAUAGGGGUAGGUAGGUUCUUUUCUUUUAUUUAUUUUUGGAAUGAAGAAGAGAUUAGAUAGUAUUAGGAGGGCCCACGGUACAAUUGAAGUGUGCAGACCUUGAUCUUUGCAAUUGAAAUGUGGAAGGAAGUUCUUUUAAUUGUAGAAAAUGAAGAGUGAUGGCCUAAGUAGAAGUCUAAUACGGUGCUGCCAACAUUUUUUUUUAUUGGAAAAUAGAAGCAUGUAGCUCACAGUCACAACUUUGCUUUAUGAAAUGUAGCGCUGGUUCAAUUUGAAGAUUGGCAUUUUAUUUAUUCUAGCAAUUGGUCAUAGUAUGAAGGGAGUAUAUUUUGAUCAUAUUUAGCUUUCUUUCAUUUUACUUUAUUUAAUUGUUACACGUUUUCUUUUAGUGUCAUUCCCGCUGCACCAUGUAUUUUCUUUAUUAUCUUCAGCUUUGUUUCUUUAUUCUUGCUGCAAUAUUAUUUUCUUUUCUUUUUUUUAGCUUAUCUUUGCAUUCAAUAGUAUUGGAUAUUCACCAUGUUGUUUCCAUGCUUUAUUUUUUUUAUGCAAUGCAUGUUUAAUUAAUUUUCGCUAGAUUAUUUUCUUUAGUGAUUUAUGUUUUAUCUUUUAUUUUUAACUUUAUCAUUGCAUUCACGAACCUUUCACAACCCCCCCCCCCUUCGUGUAGACCUAAGACUCGAACCACAGUUUGGUCCUUGAGAGACAACCUAGGAGUCAUUCCCUAGCACUAUACUGCAUUUCUAAAUUGCAAUCAAAUUUGUAUGGGGAGCGACACCCAUCAGUAGGACGAUCAAUUGCUUUUCACUUCCGUUCUAUAAUGUUGUAUUAAUUGCUAGGGGAGGCUAGGGAUAGCAAGCCAGUAAUUAGUAUUAGGCUCUUUUCGCCGAGGGAUCGGGUUAAGGGUAGGCUAAGAAAGUUGCAUGACAAUUAAUUAAUCAAACUAAUAAUUCAAGUGGAGUAGAUAAGAGAGAGCCAAUUAGAUGAUAUUGUAAACCCCCAACAACUCCAUUCAUCCAUUGUUUUCUUUUGUCAAUUGAAUCAUUCUCUUUUGCAUGUUUAUAUUUCAUUCACAAAUCCAAUUAAUUAAUUUUUAUUUUUAAGUCUUACGAUUUUAAUUCACGCGAACGAUAAGGCCUUUCGAGUCUCUUGGGAAAACGAUACUUGGUUUUACCAUUUACUAUUACUUGAACGAUUUGGUACACUUGCCAAUCCGUUAACAAUUUUUUGGCGUCGUUGCCGGGGACUCGAGGUUCACUUUUUCUAGUAGUGUGGAUUGAUUGAAUUUGACUUGGUUGUAAUUAUUUUUGUUUUAUUUUUGUUUAAUUGUGUUUUAUUUUAUUUUUCUGUAAAAGUGCUUUUAGGGUGUGUUUCUUGUGUAUGCAGGAAACAAUUCAUACUAGAAGCAGAAAAGACCAGCAACCUCUUUUAGAAGGUUUACCAAACGGGAGGAGAAGGAGACGUCCCUCACGUGAGAGAUCUCUUUCUCUUGAAGCAAUUUCGCAGUUUUCUUGUGAGAUUCCUGCACCAGAUUUUGCGGAGAUGGCUAACCAACCUCCUCCUAGACGUACAUUGGGGGACGCAGCAAACGCAGUAGGCCCCUUGAACUUCAACAGUAUUGCGGUUCC
rnacentral:lncRNA from 1 species